UCCUAUAUUUCCAAUUGUGAUAAUUUGAAUCAUGUCUGAAUUGUCAGGGCCAGCAGCAGGAACUAAGGGUUCAAAGAAGGUUGUCCAACAGUCUCCAAGGGCUCAGGUUCAGUGGAAGAUAUCAUGUUCGAUAGCAUGAAGUAUGAAGAAAAUGGAUCCAAUCAAUGAGGACCUCUUGAUGCUCGAUACAAAUUGUCUAGUAAAGCUAGCGUUUAUCAGACCAAAAGACAGCUAGUGUUUACAGACUUCUGCAAUAAUUGGCAUGUAACAACUAUAAACUAUGUUUGAGUUUGGUAGAGGCUAAAUGUUCCUGACGAUGCAUUAGUAUAACUUUUCUGUGUUAUGUGUGUAACAUUUGUUUGGCAGAAACUAAGUGAGAUGACAUAUUGACAUGUAAGAACUAUAAACGUGGCUUGCUUGUUUGUGUGUAACUUAUGU